rnacentral:rRNA from 1 species
UACGUAGGGGGCAAGCGUUGUCCGGAAUUAUUGGGCGUAAAGCGCGCGUAGGCGGCCCGGUAAGUCCGCUGUGAAAGUCAAAGGCUCAACCUUUGAAUGUCAGCGGAUACUGCCGGGCUAGAGUCCGGAAGAGGCGAGUGGAAUUCCUGGUGUAGCGGUGGAAUGCGCAGAUAUCAGGAGGAACACCAACGGCGAAGGCAGCUCGCUGGGACGGUACUGACGCUGAGGCGCGAAAGCGUGGGGAGCGAACAGG